UGCAAGUCGAACGCUUUUUCUUUCACCGGAGCUUGCUCCACCGAAAGAAAAAGAGUGGCGAACGGGUGAGUAACACGUGGGUAACCUGCCCAUCAGAAGGGGAUAACACUUGGAAACAGGUGCUAAUACCGUAUAACACUAUUUUCCGCAUGGAAGAAAGUUGAAAGGCGCUUUUGCGUCACUGAUGGAUGGACCCGCGGUGCAUUAGCUAGUUGGUGAGGUAACGGCUCACCAAGGCCACGAUGCAUAGCCGACCUGAGAGGGUGAUCGGCCACACUGGGACUGAGACACGGCCCAGACUCCUACGGGAGGCAGCAGUAGGGAAUCUUCGGCAAUGGACGAAAGUCUGACCGAGCAACGCCGCGUGAGUGAAGAAGGUUUUCGGAUCGUAAAACUCUGUUGUUAGAGAAGAACAAGGAUGAGAGUAGAACGUUCAUCCCUUGACGGUAUCUAACCAGAAAGCCACGGCUAACUACGUGCCAGCAGCCGCGGUAAUACGUAGGUGGCAAGCGUUGUCCGGAUUUAUUGGGCGUAAAGCGAGCGCAGGCGGUUUCUUAAGUCUGAUGUGAAAGCCCCCGGCUCAACCGGGGAGGGUCAUUGGAAACUGGGAGACUUGAGUGCAGAAGAGGAGAGUGGAAUUCCAUGUGUAGCGGUGAAAUGCGUAGAUAUAUGGAGGAACACCAGUGGCGAAGGCGGCUCUCUGGUCUGUAACUGACGCUGAGGCUCGAAAGCGUGGGGAGCGAACAGGAUUAGAUACCCUGGUAGUCCACGCCGUAAACGAUGAGUGCUAAGUGUUGGAGGGUUUCCGCCCUUCAGUGCUGCAGCAAACGCAUUAAGCACUCCGCCUGGGGAGUACGACCGCAAGGUUGAAACUCAAAGGAAUUGACGGGGGCCCGCACAAGCGGUGGAGCAUGUGGUUUAAUUCGAAGCAACGCGAAGAACCUUACCAGGUCUUGACAUCCUUUGACCACUCUAGAGAUAGAGCUUCCCCUUCGGGGGCAAAGUGACAGGUGGGUGCAUGGUUGUCGUCAGCUCGUGUCGUGAGAU
rnacentral:rRNA from 1 species